AUCCUUUGAUCCGGUAUUUCUAGCUAAAAUAAGGGUGAGGGAUAGCUCAUUGUGUGAAUGUGGCUUGGAUGAAGGCUCUCCAGACCAUAUAUUUUUUGCUUGCGAAAACAACCUUUCAUUGUACGAUUACCUUCCUCCUAAUAUUCCUCGUCCCACUAAUCUUAAAUCUAUUUUAUCGUUAGUAUAUUCUCCAUUUAUAGACAUCUUAUGCUCGUUCAUUGCUCAUAAU